ACAAUUCCAUCGCAACUGGGGAAUUGCUUGAGUCUGAGAGACUUGAAUUUGAGCCACAACGAAUUAACGGGAGGUCUUCCGUUUGAGAUUGGCAAUUUGCACUCUCUUCAAAAUCUCGAUCUCUGUCAAAACCUACUGGUGGGAGAGAUACCGCCACAGAUUGGAGAUAUGCUUCGGUUGGAAACGUUGAAUCUCGCCCACAAUGAGCUUCGCGGCCGCAUUCCACCCUCUUUUGAUGGAUUGCUAAGCUUGACGUAUAUUGAUUUGUCCUAUAAUCAGUUGGAGGGUUCUAUUCCUAACACAAAAAGCCUUUCGCGAGGCUCCAGUGGAGGCAUUCACGAACAACAAAAACUUAUGUGGAAACGCCUCUGGUUUGAUGAUUUGCCCUUUGACGAGUAGGAGCAAAGUUGAUGGCAAGAAGCACAACUUAGUACUGAUUCUAUGCAUAAUAACUCCUUUUUUAAGUGCUCUUUGUGUUCUACUUGUAAUUCUUAUACUUUUCUCUCUUCGUCGAGGAAGAGUAAGGCACGCAGGAACCAAAGGGAGUGUAGAAAACAGAUCAGGGCAAGAAGAGGAGGAGGACAAUUUGUUUGCUAUCUGGAGCUAUGACGGCACAAUGCUGUACGAAAACAUAAUUGGAUCGACAGAACAGUUCAGCUUGAAAUACUGCAUUGGAGAGGGAGCAACAGGGCGCGUUUAUAAAGCUGAGCUGCCAAACGGCCUGAUUGUCGCCGUGAAGAAACUUCACUCGUGACAAGAUAGUGAAGCAGCAACCGACUUGAGAUGUUUCACGGAUGAGAUUCGUGCGUUGGCACAAGUAAGACACCAAAACAUUGUGAAGCUUUAUGGGUACUGCUGCCGCACACGACACUCGUUUUUGGUUUAUGAGUUCUUAGAGCGGGGAAGCUUGGGAGCGAUACUAAGCAACAAUGAACGGGCAGUGGAAUUCAGAUGGAUUGAGAGGGUAAAUGUCGUUAAGGCAUGGCGAAUACUUUAUCAUACAUGCACCAUGACUGCUCGCCUCCUUUGGUUCAUCGAGACUUAUUGAGCAAAAACAUUUUGUUGGAUUUAGAGUAUGAGGCUCACGUCUCGAACUUUUGCACGGCUAGGCUUUUGAAGCCUGAUUCCUCUAACUAGACCUCAUUUGCUGGGACAUUUGGAUAUACUGCACCAGAGCUCGCUUACACAAUGGAAGUGAACGAGAAAUGCGACGUUUAUAGUUUUGGAGUGGUAACAUUGGAAGUGAUCUUAAGAAGUCAGCCGGGUGCCUUCAUCUCAUUUCUAUCAUUGUCAUCACCAAACUGUGCUGACCACAUAUUGUUGAAAGAUGUCGUCGACCAACGUCUCUUGCCUCCAACGGAUCAAGUUGCACAACAAGUAGUUUCCACCAUGAAACUUGCAUUCAAAAGCUUGAGCUCUAGUCCGCAAUCUCGGCCAUCCAUGAACCAAGUUUCCAAAGAGCUAUCGACUCAAAAGCACCUGCUGGCCGAGUCGUUCCUCUCAGUAACAUUAGGGCCACUAUUCAACCUAGAACACUAAACUUUACAAUAAAAGGUUACUGUUAGUAAAAGUCAUAGAAACUCUUCCAAGUAUUUUCUCUACGCAGAAAAUAAUUGAGCUAGUUAUAUUAGCAAAUCGGAAUACGAGUUUCCUAUAUUUUUUCAGAUGUUUGUAUGCUAAAAAAGUAUCAAAACAUUCCAAUGGGAUACCACAAUAUGGGCCAUGGGCAGAAGAUUAUUCUGAGCCACACUUAGCAUCAAACAAAUGUUUGGGAAACGCCCAUUGAAAAGCCCAACAGAGUCCAGAAUUUGCAGCAGGGCAACAUAACCAAGAACAGACUGCAUGGAGGGCGGAUCAACCCGGACAACUGCCCUAUCAACGUUUCAAAUUUUUAUUAGAAUUACAGUAGUUUUCUUCUAAAAAAAUUUAAAAUCAUACACGUUCACCCACCCGAUGAGGUUUUGAACAAUCGAUCAUGACCUGCGCGCCCAACCAAGACUUGUGCGAAAACUUGUGCUAUUAGUAGCAAUAGUUUUAUUUUUGUAAUAUUGUUUUUCCUUCUAAUAUAGAUCACAGAGAUGCACAUUAA